rnacentral:rRNA from 1 species
UACGUAGGGUGCGAGCGUUUAAUCGGAAUUACUGGGCGUAAAGCGUGCGCAGGCGGUUCGUUGUGUCGGCGGUGAAAGCCCCGGGCUUAACCUGGGAAUGGCCGUUGAAACUGGCGAACUGGAGUGUGGUAGAGGUUGGUGGAACUGCGAGUGUAGAGGUGAAAUUCGUAGAUAUUCGCAAGAACACCAGUGGCGAAGGCGACUUACUGGACACAUAUUGACGCUGAGGUGCGAAAGCGUGGGGAGCAAACAGG